rnacentral:rRNA from 1 species
UACGAAGGGGGGCUAGCGUUGUUCGGAUUUACUGGGCGUAAAGCGCACGUAGGCGGAUUGUUAAGUCAGGGGGUGAAAUCCUGGAGCUCAACUCCAGAACUGCCUUUGAUACUGACAAUCUAGAGUCCGGAAGAGGUGAGUGGAACUCCUAGUGUAGAGGUGGAAUUCGUAGAUAUUAGGAAGAACACCAGUGGCGAAGGCGGCUCACUGGUCCGGUACUGACGCUGAGGUGCGAAAGCGUGGGUAGCAAACAGG